rnacentral:tRNA from 1 species
CCUGACAGCUCAGUUGGUAAAGAAUCUGCCUGCAAUGCAGGAGACCUUGGUUUGAUUCCUGGGUCAGGA